rnacentral:rRNA from 1 species
UUUACGUAGUCCUUCGGCGUCAGGAUAAACGACUGGCGGCGCACAUAAGACAUGCAAGUCGAACGGACUUAACCACUUAGUUUACUAAUUGGUAGCGGUUAGUGGCGGACUGGUGAGUAACACGUAAGCAACCUAGCCUAUCAGAGGGGAACGAACAAGUUAGAAAUGACUGCUAAUACCGCAUAUGCCAUGAAUAUCACAUGAUAUAAAUGGGAAAGGAGCAAUCCGCUGAUAGAUGGGCUUGCGUCUGAUUAGAUAGUUGGUGGGGUAACGGGCCUACCAAGUCGACGAUCAGUAGCCGGACUGAGAGGUUGAACGGCCACAUUGGGACUGAGAUACGGCCCACGACUCCUACGGGAGGCAGCAGUCGGGAAUAUUGCGCAAUGGAGGAAACUCUGACGCAGUGACGCCGCGUGCAGGAAGAAGGUUUUCGGUAUUGUAAACUGCUUUAGACAGGGAAGAUAAUGACAGUACCUGUAGAAUAAGCUCCGGCUAACUACGUG